rnacentral:rRNA from 1 species
UACGGAGGGGGCAAGCGUUGUUCGGAAUUACUGGGCGUAAAGGGCGCGCAGGCGGCUGCUCAAGUCAGGCGUGAAAGGCCUGGGCUCAACCUGGGAACUGCUUCCGAGACUGUGCGACUAGAGAUCGGUAGAGGGCGGUGGAAUUUCCGGUGUAGCGGUGAAAUGCGUAGAUAUCUGGAGGAACACCGGUGGCGAAGGCGGCAUCCUGGACCGGCAGUUGACGCUGAGGCGCGAAAGCCAGGGGAGCAAAGCGGGG